CCCUUAGAUGUCCUGGGCCGCACGCGCGCUACACUGAGUGUCUGAGAUACGAGUCUGCCUGGUCCGGCAAGGUCUAGGUAAUCGCUAAAAGACACAUCAUGCUUGGGAUAGAUUAUUGCAAAUAUUAAUCUUGAACGAGGAAUUCCUAGUAAGCGCAAGUCAACAGCUUGCGUUGAUUACGUCCCUGCCCUUUGUACACACCGCCCGUCGCUACUACUGAUUGGAUGUUUAAGCGAGGUUCUCGAACUGCUAGCGACUUAGCUUCGGUGAGGUCGCAGUGGGGGAAGUGAACCUAGCUUUGGUGUCUAGAGGAAGUAAAAGUCGUAACA
rnacentral:rRNA from 1 species